rnacentral:piRNA from 1 species
UGCCAAGUGCAAGAAGUAUCGUGUGAUAU